CCUACGGGAGGCAGCAGUGAGGAAUAUUGCUCAAUGGACGAAAGUCUGAACCAGCCAAGUAGCGUGAAGGAUGACUGCCCUAUGGUUUGUAAACUUCUUUUAUAUGGGAAUAAAACGUUCCACGUGUGGGAUUAUGUAUGUACCAUAUGAAUAACGAUCGGCUAACUCCGUGCCAGCAGCCGCGGUUAUACGGAGGAUCCGAGCGUUAUCCGGAUUUAUUGGGGUUAAAGGGAGCGUAGGUGGAUUGUUAAGUCAGUUGUGAAAGUUUGCGGCUCAACCGUAAAAUUGCAGUUGAAACUGGCAGUCUUGAGUACAGUAGAGGUGGGCGGAAUUCGUGGUGUAGCGGUGAAAUGCUGAGAUAUCACGAAGAACACCGAUUGCGAAGGCAGUUCACUGGACUGCAACUGACGCUGAGGCUCGAAAGUGUGGGUAUCAAACAGGAUUAGAUACCCGUGUAGUC
rnacentral:rRNA from 1 species